rnacentral:rRNA from 1 species
CGAACGCUUUGUUUUUAAUUGAUAUGAAGAGCUUGCUCUGAUUUGAUUUCUAUCUGACAAAGAGUGGCGAACGGGUGAGUAACACGUGGGUAACCUACCUCUUAGCAGGGGAUAACAUUUGGAAACAAGUGCUAAUACCGUAUAACACUAACAACCGCAUGGUUGUUAGUUGAAAGAUGGUUCUGCUAUCACUAAGAGAUGGACCCGCGGUGCAUUAGCUAGUUGGUAAGGUAAUGGCUUACCAAGGCGAUGAUGCGUAGCCGAGUUGAGAGACUGAUCGGCCACAAUGGGACUGAGACACGGCCCAUACUCCUACGGGAGGCAGCAGUAGGGAAUCUUCCACAAUGGGCGCAAGCCUGAUGGAGCAACGCCGCGUGUGUGAUGAAGGGUUUCGGCUCGUAAAACACUGUUAUAAGAGAAGAACGACAUUGAGAGUAACUGUUCAGUGUGUGACGGUAUCUUAUCAGAAAGGAACGGCUAAAUACGUGCCAGCAGCCGCGGUAAUACGUAUGUUCCAAGCGUUAUCCGGAUUUAUUGGGCGUAAAGCGAGCGCAGACGGUUAUUUAAGUCUGAAGUGAAAGCCCUCAGCUCAACUGAGGAAGGGCUUUGGAAACUGGAUAACUUGAGUGCAGUAGAGGAAAGUGGAACUCCAUGUGUAGCGGUGAAAUGCGUAGAUAUAUGGAAGAACACCGGUGGCGAAAGCGGCUUUCUGGACUGUAACUGA